AGUAAAUCUCCUAAGGAUCAGUACAAGAUGAUGUCCUCCAUGAGGGGUACUGGUGUCAUCCAGCAGCAGAUGCAGCUCCCCCCUCAGCAACCCCCACCCAGGGGGAGUAUAAUGACUGGCUAUCCUGUGAGAACACAGGCCACCACCAGUACUUACCAGCCACCUGCCUCACAACCUGCAGGGCAGCCUAGAUACAGCUAUCCUGGACAGCCACAAAGGUUCUUUGGCUACGAGAAAUAAAAAUAUCAACUUCAUAAACUGUUGGUGUGGAACACCCAGUGGCUUUACAGUACAAUGUCUAUAUUAAGGAAAGGUUUUUAUGAUGAUGAUGAUGAUGAUGAUGAUAAUCACUUAUGUGUCAGAACGAAUUUUUUAUGAAACCAAUGUUUUGCUUGGAACAUCUUCGGACUGGAUACCUACAGGGUGUCGGUUGAACUGUGGGUGGUUUUCAAAGUUAUUCUCAUCACCAAAGUCCUGAAUUCAACAUCUUGUAGAACCAUGAACAAGAUAUUAAAAAAAACUACCCAUGUUGUACUCUCUAUGGUUGUCACUUGAUGGAUUCGUUAACUUUGGCUGACCAAUUUACA